GCCAGCGACACAGUGGUCCGUUCUGUGAAGAGGGUUUAAUGGCAGAGCUCUUCUCUGGAGAAGCAUUUUAACAUGAUGAACGAAGAAACUAGUCAAAAAACUGAUGGAGGGGAAAGAUAUAAUGGGGCCAACAUGAGAAAGAAGAGACCCAAAAAGGUAACGCAUCUGGAAAGGAGAGCACAUCUGCACAGUGUUUAAAGCAUGCUUCUUAAGGUCUGGACGGCUAGGAUGAAGGCAGAGUGGUUUCUUAGGCG